rnacentral:rRNA from 1 species
CUGGUUUUGGAUGGGCUCACGGCCUAUCAGCUUGUUGGUGGGGUAAUGGCUCACCAAGGCGACAACGGGUAGCCGGCCUGAGAGGGUGACCGGCCACACUGGGACUGAGACACGGCCCACACUCCUACGGGAGGCAGCAGUGGGGAAUAUUGCACAAUGGGCGGAAGCCUGAUGCAUCGACCCCGCGUGAGGGAUGACGGCCUUCGGGUUGUAAACCUCUUUCAGUAAGGAAGAAGCGAGAGUGACGGUACCUGCACAAGAAGCGCCGGCUAACUACCUGCCAGCACCCGCGGUAAUACCUAGGGCGCAAGCGUUGUCCGGAAUUAUUGGGCGUAAAGAGCUCGUAAGCGGUUUGUCGCGUCUGCUGUGAAAGCCCGGGGCUCAACCCCGGGUCUGCAAUGGGUACGGGCAUACUACAGUGCAGUAGGGGAGACUGGAAUUCCUGGUGUAGCGGUGAAAUGCGCAGAUAUC